CUUACGGGUGGCUGCAGUGAGGAAUAUUGGUCAAUGGGCGCGAGCCUGAACCAGCCAAGUAGCGUGAAGGAUGACUUCCCUACGGGUUGUCAACUUCUUUUAUAAAGGAAUAAAGUGAGGCACGUGUGCCUUUUUUCAUGUAUUUUAUGACUAAUGCUCGGCUAACUCCGUGCCCGCAGCCGCGGUAAUACGGAGGAUCCGAGCGUUAUCCGGAUUUAUUGGGUUUAAAGGGAGCGUAGAUGGGUUUUUAAUUCAGUUGUGAAAGUUUGCGGCUCAACCGUAAAAUUGCAAUUGAUACUGGCAGCCUUGAGUACAGUUGAGGUAGGCGGAAUUCGUGGUGUAGCGGUGAAAUGCUUAGAUAUCACGAAGAACUCCGAGUGCGAAGGCAGCCUACUAAACUGCCACUGACAUUGAUGCUCGAAAGUGUGGGUAUCAAACAGGAUUAGAUACCCUAGUAGUC
rnacentral:rRNA from 1 species